AAGCCUGGGAUUGUACCCUGUUCCUUAGCCCAGCGCAGAGUAGAAAUGGUGUGUGCUUGGCCCCUCUGUCUCCUGCCUUUGGAUUGGUUUAUUUUUUGGCAUGUGGGGAAAUUUGUGUGUGGCUUUUCUAGACAAUAGAUAGGAAUACCAGAAAUUCUUUCCAUUGCUCCAGAAAGGGACUGCUUUUCAUUGCCAGGUUCUGGCAGAGGAAGAAUUUAACAAAUAUAACCUUUUCCUGGUAAAAAUAAAUGAACUCUCCUGGAAACGUGAGUAAUAGGGGAAGUCCUUGGGAAUCUGGCAGCAGGGAGUGCUCCCACACGCUGUGAUCGCUCUCUCCCCUUGGAGGCGGAGGCAGAGCCCUCGCUCUGAGAGGGUUGUGAGCGCUUCCCUGCGCUCCAGAAGUGCUGCAGUUCAGGGACGAACCCCUGCAGCCUGCAACACGCUUCUUAGGAAGACGGAAACACAGACUAAAAGUGAAAAAUACUGCGGGCUCUCAACCCUGUUUGUACUGCUGAAGUAGGCAGGUGUGCUCUAGUGGGCCAGACCUGCGAGAUGAGCCCCUGGAAAAUCCAGAUGCUGAACGUUUUCUGAUGGCAGCAGCUACCUGAAGGAAGGAGUUAGACAGACAGACAAUAGCAGCCGAAGCGCUACCACACAAUACUUCAGCCCGAAAGGCACAGCUUACUGCAUUGACUAGGGCUUUGCAACUGGGAACAGGUUAGCAAGUUAAUAUAUAUACAGAUUGUAAAUAUGCUUUCCUUGUGUUACAUGCACACGCAGCAAUCUGGAAAGAGAGGGGCUUGCUGACUGCAAAGAGUUCCCCUGUUAAAUAUGGAAAAGAGACGCUGGCUCUACUCCAGGCAGUACUGGAGCCUUUAGAAGUGGCCGUCAUCCACUGCAAGGGACAUCAGAGGGAGACAAUUAUGUUAACCAGGGAAAUGCGGUAGCAGGUGGAGCAGCUACACAGGAGAGUUUGGAAAUGGCCCUUAUACCUCAGUCUGUGGAAGUGGUUAAGGAAUCUCACUGUACGGAGUCUGAGGAUGAAUGGGCCCAACAGCGAGGCUAUGCAAAUGGAUGGUGGAUGCCAAACCAUAGAAUUAUGCUACCAGUGGCCACUCAAUGGAAAAUAAUAAAGGAGAUACACAACUCUACCCACUUGGGAAGAGAUGCCUUAGUACAGCUGGUCUCCUGAGCGUUUGGAGGCAAGGGACUAAAUACGGUCAUAAAGGAAAUGACUCGCUCUUGGCCUCUAUGUUUGCAGAAUAACCCUCACCGCAUAAGGCCACCUCCCCUGUUGACACCUGUGCAGAGGAGGGAACAUAGACAGCUGAAGAUUGGCAGGUUGAUUUUACCAAUAUGCCCCCAACAAGCAAUUAUAGGUGCCUGCUAGUCUUUAUUGAUACUUUUACAGGAUGGAUAGAGGCCUUUCUGACCUGAAUGGAGAAAGCACACGAGGUGUUUAAAGCCGUGUUGAGAGACAUCGUGCCACACUUUGGAAUCCCACGGUCCCUCCAGAGUGACAAUGGGCCUUCGUUUAUAUCUAAACCCAGCAGAACCCAGCAGCUUCUGAGAGUAAUGAUGACCAUGCAGGAGGCACUGAGGAUGGCGGUGACUGAGAGAUCCAGCUCGUGAAGUGAACUCAUUAGAAGAGAUAGGCAGAGACUUCCAGACCGAGAACAGGCAGGGUCUGCACCCUAAUCAGCAGGAAGUAGCUACAGAAGAUGGUGACUUGAGCUCUCAACAUCCCCUCAAGAUUAAGGUCUGGAGUCUCUGAGGGGAGAAUGAAGUGGACAGGCAUACAGGUUAAAAUUGAUCAGAUUUGCCACGCCCCUGUGUGGCCUCAUGCUCCUACCUGGCUACACCUGGGUGCCCACCAGCCAAUCAGGUUAAUUACCCACUCCCCUUUGGAAGUGGGUUAAAAGCCUGACACGGUGUGGCCCGCCCCGGUGUGGCCCGCCCCGCUCUUCUUCCCUGGCCUCUUGUCAGGAGGGGGCUUGCAUAGCCCCGCGCCUCCAGGGCGCACGGCCUUCGGGCCAUGUGCUCUAGGCUUCCUGGCCCAGAUACAGGCCUAGAUGCUCUCCCACGUAGCUGGUUCCUGGUGCUUGGUAUGAACCCCUAUUCACCUCUCUCUCCCAAAUAAGCUCUCACUCUCCUAUGCAUCUUUCUCACUAAUAAAAGCUUAAAACGUACCAUGCUGCCUCGUUUAUCUGUGCUGGUAUUUAGAAUUCUUAAUAUCGGGGAUUUAGUAAUAAGCCCGUGGUGAAAUCGUAAGGCACCCCAAAUUUCAGUAGUACAUGUGGCACCCUGGAUGGCAUUUUUAGGGAACUUUAAGGGGCCACAUUUCAGUGUGAAUUUUAGGGGGUCUUGUCCGAUUUCGCUGCCGGAACACAAAUGGUCAUCCUUAAAGCCAGGAGCCAGGAGCUUCUUCCGGGUCUCCCACAAGGGUGCAGGAGCCCAAGGACUUGGGCCAUCUUCUACUGCUUUCCCAGGCCAUAGCAGAGAGCUGGAUCGGAAGAGGAGCAGGUGGAUCUCGAACCGGCACCCACAUGGGAUGCCAGCACUGCAGGUGGCAUCUUUACCCACUAAGCCACAGCCUCAGCCCCCUAGGCUCCCUAGAUUUUUAAGGGAGUUUGUUUACCAACCUCCCCCUCUCCUGGACAAAGGAUGGGGAGUCCUGGCUGAAGGACUGGGUGAAAGUUAGCAAAUUCCUCCCCAGAUUUGCUGGUGCCUGGUAGAGUAGGGGGGCUUCCCUUGGGGCAUCUGAGAAGGUUUUAUUGCCCCAUGUUAUCAGGUAACCCCUUUGGUCCUGAGGAGAGAGAAUUCUCCUGGGAGCUUUCUGUGGGGGCAGGGCUGGGACCACCUGGGAGGUCAUCCGGGUCUGGGCAGGGAUGCUGGGCUUCUGGAGCCUCCGCAGCAGGUGCUGGUCUUCAGGCCCAUCUUACACACACAUGGGCUCAAUUUCUGACUUCCUACCUAACAGCCUGAGCCAGAUCCUAUUCCAAGUGCUUGGAUAUAUCAUAUUUCGUAUUAUAUAUCCAAAUAAGAUCCUUGUUCUCAUAGUAGGGGGGAGGGGUACAGACGAUAAAUAUAAUAGCGCAAUUAAAGAAUAGAAGGUAAGUGAUGACCAUCCUCGAGGUGGCCAGCGUUUCGUUAAGGAGAUAGUGCACAGUCUAUGCAGGUGUCAAAAUGUCACAUGGGGAGGGCAGGUGCUUGCGGUUUGGGAUGCCCCUUCCCAUAUCUGGAGCACCUGGUGUCCUGGCUCUUCCUCUCCUUCCGAUCCAGCUUCCUGCCAAUGAGCUUCCUGGGAGGCAGCAAAUAACAGCUCAGACACUUGGGUCCCUUCCAUCCACACGGGAGACCCAGAUUGAUUUCUGGGCCCCUGGCUUCUUCGCCUGGCCCACCCACGGCUGUUGUGGACAUCAGAGGAGUGAACCAGUGAGUGGAAGAUCUCUGUUUCUCUGUGCCUUUCAGAUUAAAUAAAAAUAAAUAAAAAUGUGUAUAGAAUAAUCUGAAAACUUUUUUAAAAAGCACUUGAUAUAUAUAAUUUAUGUGUCAGUUGGGAAAAUGCCAUUAAAAAGAAGAGCUGUUUAUGAGUGAAGACUUGCAGGAGCUAAGGGAGCAAAUCAUAUGGAUAACCCGGAAAGAGUUACCAGGCAGAGCCCUCAGGAGGAGCAUGACUGGCACAAACAGCAGGAAAUCUAUCCGAGAGGCUGCAGACAGAAUGAGAGAAAGGGAAAGCGUAGGAUAUGACGAACAUCAAAGAGACACGGGAUGUGGGGAGCUGAUCUAUAGAACCUGGUGGGCUGAAAGAGGUGCACUCUGGCUUUUGUGGCUUUUAAUUGCCAUGGAAAUGUUGCAUGUUACAGCUUAGGUUUUAGAAGGAUUGUUCCAGAAGUAUUGAGAAUAAGAGGCCAAAAUUUGGAGCAGGAGCCAGUGGAUAGGCUAUCUCAGAUCCAAGUGAGAGGUGAGGGUGGCUCUAAUGAUCCACAGGUCCUGGACAUAUUGUGAUUUUUUAAAAUUUUUUAAGAUCCAUUUAUUUAUUUGAAAGACAAAGUAAUAAAGAGACCGAAGUAGAGAGAGAGAGGGAGAGUCUUUCAGCCGCUGGUUCAAUCCCCAGAUGGCCACAGCGGCUGGAGCUGUGCCGAUCUGAAGCCAGGAGCUUCUGGUUCUCCCACUUGUGUGCAGGGGCCCAAGGACCUGGGCCUUCUCCUACUGCUUUCCCAGGCCACAGCAGAGAGCUGGAUCGGGAGUGGAACAGCUGGGACUUGAACUGGUGCCCACAUGGGAUGCUGGCACUGCAGGCUGCGGCUUUACCCACUACACCAUAGCUGGCCCCCUGGAUAUAUUUUGAAAGUAAAUCCAGGAGAACUUUCUGAUGGGUUGUUUUUUGACCUGGACAACUGGAAAGAGUUUCAGGGGCCAGUGUGAUGGUAUAGCAGGUUAGGCUUCCACUUGUGACACUGGUAUCCCAGAGUCCCAGAUGCUCAGCUUCCAACCCAGUUCCCUACUAAUGACCCAGGGAAAACAGCUGAAGAUGGCCCAGGUGCUUGGGCCCCUGCCACCCACGUGGGAGACCCAGAUGGAGUUCCUGGCUCUUGGCUUCUCUCUGGCCCAGCCAUGGCCAUGUGGGGUGUGAACCAAAGAUGGAAAAUCUCUUCCUCUCCCUGUCUUUCCCUCUCUGUUACUCUGUCUUUCAAGUAAAUAAAUAGUUAAAAAAAAAAGAAGAAGAAAUAAAAUAGAGUUGCCUUUCAGGACUUCCAGGAUAGACUGGGUAGAACAAUUUCACAGGGGAGCGGUAGGAUUUCAGUUUGGGCAUGUGUAGUUUCAGAUGUAUAUUAGAUAAUCAAAUGCAGAUAUGAAGUAGUCUGUUGGAUAUAUAGGUCUUGAGUUUUGGAUGAUGUUCUGAAGAUACAUAUUUUUAUAUAUGUAUCUUCUUUACAUAAAAAAAGAUCUGUUUAUUUGAAAGAGAGAGAAAGAGGGUAGUUUUCUCCUCAAGUGGCCCUGAUGGCCAGGGCUGAGCUCCUGGCUUCAGAUUGGCGCAGCUCCAGCCGUUGUGGCCAACUGGGGAGUGAACCAGCUGGUGGGAGACCUCUCUCUCUCUCUGCCUCUCCUUCUCUCUGUGUGUAACUCUGACUUUGAAAAAAAAAAAAAAAAGAGGAGCAGCCAGGACUUGAAUCAAUGCCCAUGUGGGACUGGUUGCAGGAUAUGGCUUAACCUGUCAUGCCACAAUGCCAACCCCAAAACUCUUACCUUUUAAUUCCAUUUCCAAAAACUUGUUCAAGCUCCGUGUGUGUGUGUGUGUGUGUGUGUGUGUGUGUGUUGGGCAGAUGUCCGUCUGUAACUAGCCUUUAAUGCCUGAAACUGGGUGAGAGCUCACCAAUGCAGGCAUAGAAGGAAUGCGAAUGAAGGAAGCUCUGGGACGCUGCCCCCUUAGGAAGUCAGAGCAGGAGCAGGAGCAGGAGUGAGGGGCCUGUCCAGGACGUCAAAGAAGAAAAUGAGCAGAGUGCCUGAGCAGCUGGCAUUCUACUGAGAGACUCGGCUGAGGCCGAGAAGUGAGGGCUGCGUUUAGCAAUGGAGAGGUCACUGGUGGCCUUGACAAGAGCUGCUUUGGUGCAGUAAUGGCACAAUCAUUUGAGUGGAAUGAACUAAAGAAAAAGCUCAGGGAUUCUGAUCUUUGGAAAGCUCUGACAGUGCGGCUUGGAAGCAAAGAUGCCAAGGAUCCUGACGUGGGGACGUACCUCCAGCUUCAAUGUUUCUGGAACAAGGCAAGAACUUGGAACUCAAAACCUGAAGGCUUCAGGAGGAAUUGUUACACUCUCAGGACAUGGUCUCCUUCUAGCCUUGUAUCUGUUCCCUGGUGACAUGAAUAGCCAAAAUUUCUGGGGCUGGCAUUGUGGUGUAGCAGGCAAAGCCUCUGCCUGCAACGCUGCCAUCCCAUAUGGGUGCCAGUUUGAGUCCCAGUUGCUCCACUUCUGAUCCAGCUCCCUGCUAAUGCACCUGGAAAAGCAAUGGGAGAGCAACAGAAGAUGACCUGAGUCCUUGGGCCCCUGCACCCAUGUAGGAGACCCAGAAGAAGCUCCUGGCUCCUGGCUUUGGACCCGCCCAGCUCCAGCCUUUGUGGCCAUUUGGGGAGUGAACCAGCGGAUGGAAGAUAAGCUGUUGCCUGCAACGCCAGCAUCCUGUGACAGCCCUGGUUUGAGUCCUGGCUGCUCUGCUUCCGAUCCAGCUCCCUGCUGAUGUGCCUGGGAAAGCCGCCUGUGAUGGCCCAAGUACUCAGGCCCCUGCCACCGUGCGGGAGAUCCAGAUGGAGUUCCAACCUCUUGCCUUUCGAAUAAAUAAAUACAUCUUUAAAAAAAUAAAGUCAAACUUAUUCUGUCACAGAAUGGUAAUACCCGAGGAUUAUUGCAUUAUUUUUCCUCAUAACCAGUUCUCUUUCCCCAUGUUGGAGCCUGCUCUGGUUCCUCCAAUCCCCACUGAUGACUGUUAGCUAUGUGCUCUAUUUAAAAACAAAUUGAACAGUCUGGGUCAAAUCUCCACCUUCAGAAUUCUGUAUACUGAUAAAUAAAGAAGUCAAAAUUUCAAUGCAUUGCCAUAUUCUCUCUCUCUCUCUCUCUCUCUCUCUCUCUCUCUCUCUCUCUCUCUCUCAUUUCUUUAUCUAUAAAAGCAGUUACAGAGAGAAAGAGAGAGCGUGUGAGAUCUUCCAUCUACUAGUUUACUCCCCCAAAGCCCACAACAGAUGGGGCUAGGCCGGGCCAAAGCCAGGAACCCUAAGUUCUUGGGUCCAUGAUGCGUUGCCUUUCGGUGACAUCGCAGGAAGCUGCAGGGGACUCGCUGGGACUUGACAGGCGUUCCAGGAUGGGAGGCAGUUGUCCUAAGAGGCGGCUCGCCGCUCUGUGUCUCAACGCUAACUCCAAGAGCACUUCUUUAACCAGGGAGGCUGCUGACGAUAAAUGUGUUUCCGAUGGUCUGAGCGCAUCGCGGCUGGCAGCAGCAGCUGUGUCGUAACAACUCAACUUCUUUAGAUACCCAGGAGAAAUCCUAGAUUUCUAAAAGAUUUACAUCUCCUGUCAAAAGAUAAGAAAGUGUGAUGUCAGUUUCUCUCUGUCUCUCUCUCUCACUGUCCACUCUGCCUGUCAAAAAAAAAAUAAUUAAAAAAAAGAAAGUGUGAUAUCAGCUAUAUUGGGGAAUUGAAACUAUUUGUACAAAUAUCGUACUGAUUAUAUUCUGCCUUUUGGAGAAACCCAGAACCAGCUUUUGCCCUUUUGUUUUUUUGUAAUAAGUCCUCUGACUAUUUGAAUUUGCUUAUCUUUAUGCUAAACAUUCUGUUCAUUCUGCAUUUGUUCAAUAAACACUUGAGUGGGAGGAAUUUGCUGCAAAAAGAGAUCAGAAAAAAUGGAGGCGUAGCUGGCAAGGGAUGAGUAGUUGGGGAAAAUAUGAUCACGUGAAGUUAAUUUUAAGGUGGAAGGAAUUCACAGUGCUUCUGUACAACACCACUCAUAGGGUAGGGGACCAGUGUGAGUGGGAACAGAUGGAAGAAUCGACCAGACGACCUGCGUCCUUAAGUAGGGGAGAGGGCUGUGUAAGUGGAAGACUUGGCUCCAGACGGGGUAUAAAGAGUCCCUGCAGGAAAGGGCUGGAGGACACGGGCACGAAAACAAAUGCUGGCAAGCAGAUGUGGUGGAACAAGUCCGCGCAAGAAGUGCCACCCAUUCGCUAAGAGACUGAGGCGAGGCUGCAAGCCCUACGAGCCACGCUUUAUGAUUGGACAUCUUCUUCCGUCUGAGCAGAACAAGGUCAAAUCUGGGUCAGAAGCCCAGCCCCGCUCGCCUACUUGAAGCUGCCUUUCGUGUUCCGUGACGGCUAAGUUCCCCUCUCUCCACGUCCUGCCCCCCCUCCCCCCGACCCCAUACUCAAACACCUAAAGGCACCCAUGGGGGUACUGUUCUGAAGUGCCAGCCCUUUGCCACUAAAGGGCCUGUGUGCCUCUCAGUCUGGCUAAACGGGGAAUUUUGCCGUGCCUGAAUUCACCUUUGGCAAUUUGUUAAAAAAAAUAAAAACCUGAAAUCCUCCUAUA